GCCUGGCUGGCUUAGUCGGAAGAGCACUGGACUCUUGAUCUUGGGGUCAUGAAUUUGAUCCCCAUGUUGGGUG
rnacentral:tRNA from 1 species